AGGCCUACUUAGUGGAGGUCUGGUCAGUGGGGUCCUGGUAAAUCGGGGCCUCAUCAGUUGGGGCCUGGUCAAUGGGAACCUGGUGAGUGAGGAACUUGUCAGUGGGGCCUAGUCAGUGAAACGUGGCUGCUGGGGACACAGUCAACUGUGGUCUUGUCAGUAGGGACCUCAUUAGUUGGGGCCCAGGCAGUGGGGGCCUGGUCAGUAAAGGUCUAGUUCAGUCAGAACCUUGUCAUUUGAGGCCCGGUCAGUGGAGACCCCAACAGAGGGGGCCUUGUCAGCUGGGCCCAGUCAGUGGGGCCCUGGCAGUGGAAGCCUCAUCCGUGGGUCCUGGACAGUGAGGCCUGGUCACUGGAGGUCUAGUCAGUGGGUCCUGGUUAUUGGAGGCCUGGUAGGCAAAGACAUAGCCAGAAGCUGGUCAGUUAGAGCCCAGUCACUGGGGGUUUUGUCAUAUGGGCCAGUCAACGGGGGCCUAGGAGAGGUGGCCUCACUGGGGGUCCUGGCUAGUGGGGUCUAGUCAGCAGUGGUCUGGGGUCCUGGUAAGUUGAGGCCUCAUCAAUUGAGGCCUGGUCAGUGGGGCCUGAUCACUGGGGUUCUGGCUAGUGGGGACUGUUCAGUGAAUUUCGGGGGCAUUGGGGACCUGGUUAAUGGGCCCUAAUCAUUAGUAACCAGGUCUGGUUACUAAAGACCUGACCAGUCAGAACGUCAUCAGUCAAGGACCUGGUCAGCUGGGACCACAUCAAUGAAGGACUAGUCAGUUGGAACCUCGUCAGUUAAGGACUUGGGCAGAUGGAACCUCGUCAGUUAAGGACUUGGGCAGUUGGAACCUCGUCAGUUAAGGACUUGGACAGACGGAACCUCGUCAGUUAAGGACUUGGACAGACGGAACCUCGUCAGUUAAGGACUUGGGCCGACGGAACCUCGUCAGUUAAGGACUUGGGCAGACGGAACCUCGUCAGUUAAGGACUGGUCAGUUGGGACCUUGUCAGCUGGGCCCAUUCAGUGGGGGCCUGGCAGUGGAAGCCUCAUGAGUGUGUCCUGGACAGUGAGGCCUGGUCACUUGAGGUCUGACAGCGGGACCUAGUCAGUGAGGUUCUAGUCACUGGGUACUGGGCUCUGGGGCCUGUUCAGUAAAGUGUGCUCAGUAAAAACAUGGUCAGUUGGAGCCUUGUUGGUGGGGACCCGGUCAGUAGGCCCCUUGUCAGUUGGGCACAGUCAGUGGAGGUCUCUCUCUGGUCAGUGAGUUCUUGCACAGGCCCAGGCUGUGGGGAUGCCCGAAGCUGGGAGGAGGCGCAGACAGCAGGAAGGAGAGAAGGAAGGAAGGAGCUUCCUGAGUAUAGAUGCCUACGAAGUCAUAACACGUGGGCUGUUUCUACUGCAACGCCAUAUUCGCUGUUUCUUUCCCACAUGAUUCUCUAUUCACCUGGCCUCAGUUGAACAAAAAACUAUCCUGUACCACCACAAAUAGUUGGCAAUGGCUCUUUGAGAGCAGUUUUUAUGCUGCUGUAGAAAUUAUCCUUGAACCAGAAAAAGUCCCCAACCCAACGUCCAGUCACUCAACACUCCCAUCUUUAUAAAGAGCUGCUACCAAAUUCUGCGUCGAUUUUUGGAAAAAAAAAAUUUUUUUUUGCUCUGGUUAAAAGUGCUUCAUCUAUGAUCUCAAGUCUCUCCCUCGAAUUGGAUGGAGACGGUGAAUCUCAGCCAAAGUGGCCAAAGAACUCGUGUCCCGCGCUCCGGAAUGCUGUCAGCCACUGCACUCCGUCUUCCCUCUUUGCUGCUCCCCAUGAUUUUGGUCUUCUGUUGGUGCUGCAGGGGCCUGUCAGGAAGUGCUGGAGGACGUGGCACUGCUCCAGCACUGGGCAGCCGGCUGCGUGGCUGAUCCCACAGAUCAGGCCCUUCCUGUGCGUGAAGAUGAAGUCCUCCUGGAGGCAGCCCAUGGCCCACUUCUCGGGUAGGUGGGACACAAAGAUGGCCGGGAACGUCACCAGACACGCAUCUACCCAGUCCAAGUGCUUGUUGCACCAUGCACCAGCGCCUGCCCAUGCGUGGGCACCAGCUUGCAGGAGAGAAAGCUCUUCAUGUUCCUGAACUUGUUCUACUGAGCGGUGUCGCCGGUGGUACACUGGAAGGGGCAGGGAUUCUCCUGCCACUUGGGGCCAUAGAGUCGCAGAGCCAUGCACAGCUUGUCCCCGUCCUUCAUAGAGUCCAAGAGGCUCCCAUAUAGGCUCAGCACCUCAUGGUCCUGCCACAAGUUCUUGCCAGGGUUCUCUGGCCUGAAAUGCACAACUGGGUGAGCUGUGCCUUGUCCCCUGCGUGGUGAUGCGUGCUGUGACUGAAGGUCCAUGGCACCGCUGUUGUCUUCCCCUACCAACCAGGGCUGGGGUUCAGGCUGGGCCCCUCUGGACCUGGGACUUGUGCCCUGGUUGGGAGCUCUGUCCCACCAGUCAAAUCAGAGGCCAUAGGGUAUGCUGCUGGCUGGCCAGGGCUGGAAGGACACCAUGCUCACCCCUCUGGCAUCCAGCUUCCCUGUUGAGAAGGACCUCCUAAAGCCCAGGAACCAUCUGAAACCGCAGAGCAGCUGGCUGGGAGCUGCCCUGGCUCCUUCCAUGCCAUGUUAGUCACUAUCCACCAAGGGAGUCCGAUGCAAGUGCCCUCAUGCAAGGGACUUAUCUCUGGACCUGCCCCUCAGUUCUCAGGGGCCGAGUAGGGCCUGGUGUUGUGGCCAAGAUGGGGUUGCAGGGCUAGGCCCUAUCGAUGGUCCUGGCGCUGUGUAGGGUGGAUGUGGAAGGGGUGGGGCCCAGCAUCCCUGUUCAAAAAUUUGCAGUGGGAACCACGGGCCUCUGACACACAACAGAGGCAACUUCAGGAAGGAGUUUAGAAAACACGUGGGUCCGUUGUGAGCCCUCAGGAUCCCCGGAAAGCAGCCUGCUGCCCUGAGCUCUCUGGAAGCCCCGUCAUGCAGAUGGGCCUCAGUCUCAGAGAGAGUCAGCCAGGCCAGGGUGGGAGAGGACCAGGGUCGCAUUCCUGGAUGGGGGCUGGCUGCAUGGGCCCCUGGAGCUAAGCUGGUGGGCAGGGGUGGGCCAGCCUGUCUCCCUUACAGAGGGGCUCACAGAGGGGGAUGCUCACAGAGGCCUGGGUGCCAGGCACCCUUGCUCAAGUUUGGCUGAAAAAAUAGCAGACAUGAAUGGUCAGCUUCUCCACUAAGCCCAUUAGGUCUUUGCAGGACUGGACCCCACAGACCUUGGUCGGCAGACCCUGAUUUCUACGUCUAACUCUGUCUUCUCUAGUCUGACUCUAACGACACGCCUGCAGGCUGCUGAUCUUAGAGCAAAGGGGGUGUGGACCCUUCAGGGUUGGGGGAACUGUCUGGGCAUCUCACGUAGCUCCUGGGAUGGUUGCUUAGGAUUCGGGCUGGCUCUGGGCUUCCUCCCUCACCUCUUCAUUCCAGGGCUGUGUGUUCUGGGUUGCAGCCCUGAUUCAGAGCCAGGUGGGAGAGGCCUUGGCUGUCACCUAGCCCCCUUGCCACCUCACACGAGACACUGUCUUCAAGGUGGGUAAGGCGGUCCUGGGCACAGGGCCCCCUCUGCCCUGCGGAGCCAUCCACUCCAUGCCUGGACUGGAUCCUUCUAACAGCUGGUGAACUUUGGAUCUGGCUCUGGCCAGGGCUCCUGUCUGUGUCCUCUCCCUGAAUCCUCUGAGUCAGAGACACUGAUUCUCUUGUUCCCCUGGCUCCAGUCUUAUUGCCCUGGUGUUCUUGGAGUGGAACUCUGGAGCAAGGGGGCCCUCCUCCUCUCCCUGCAUUUGUUGAUGUUGGGAUGGUGGUUCAAGGAGCUGGCGCAGAGGGGAGAGGAUGUAAAAAGCACAGGGGGUGUUGAGGGGUCUUUCCCCAGCCCCUGCCUGUCUGAGCAGUAUGUCCAGUAUACAUGUGCUCAGCACCUGCCCGGAGGACUGGCAGACCAAUUUCCAGUAGCCACUUAAUGUAGAAGAGGAAGAGGGAGAAAAGAGGUGCAGAAGGAAGGCUCAAGUAGUAGUAGGGCUGGUGGGGCUGGGUCCUUUCCACUAUCAAACACUCCAGAGGGUGACUCAGGAGGGAACCUGGUGCUGGAUCCCACCAGGGGAUGGCAGUUCCCAACAAUGCCUUAUCAGUUUCCCCACAAAGGCCUAAAUGUGCCUGAGCACCGUGGUGUCCUACAGGUCCCAGGGCUGGGAUAACUGGCCCUGGAAGAACUCCCUCCCGCAGGCUGGACUGGGAUAGGUUCAUGGUCACUCAAGGUUCAGGGAGGGCAUCAGGCCAGGAAGGGUUCCUGGGAGGGGUUUGUGCGCACACCCGGUUCCCUACACUGCCACCUCCCACUGGGCAGCACUGGGUCCUUCUGUGGCUACCCCGGGGGUCCCGCUGUGCACAGGAGGCCACGUGGCCAGGGGAGGCCCGGACAGGGAGGUGCCCACCACAUUUCUGCCUUUCUCACCGGUCAUUCAUUUCAAGGGUGGGCUCAGGGUCUGGGAGAACUUGCUGUGCCAUGCCCACCCCCACAGGCCAGGCCUGGCCAGCCUUGGCAUUCCUCCUGACCGGAGCAGAGGGCCAUGGGGACAGUGGCCUCAGGCCAGCCAAGCUCUGUCCUGUGAGCUCCCCAGGAAACCUUGAGCACGCAGGGACUUCUGUGAACUUUGAAGGCUGUGGGCACCAUCGCCCUUAUUGCCUUCAUCUCCAGGCUGAAUCUGAAAAGGAUCAGUGGGGACAGUAGGUGUGAGAGGACCUGGCCCUUCCAGGCUGGGAGCCAGUAGCCCAAGUUGGGCCCACAGUGGUUUCAGUCCCCUGGAGUGCGAGGGACCCCUCCCAUGGGAUGAGCUGCCACCAUGAGGCUGGGUCAGAAGAGGUCUUGCAGUUUUUCAUGGUGAGGACUGGACUCAGCAGGGAUGUGGGUCCUGGAAAGAGGGACUCCCCAGGGCCUUAGACUUCCCUGGGCUCUCCCAAGUGGACACCUGGCCCAGUCUGCCCCAGCCUCUGCAGGGUGUAUGCCCCCUCUCAGGCACUGUUGGCUCCUGUGCCCUGCCAGGACCCACCUGUGCCUCCUGCUGGGUGGGGGUGAGCCAGGUCCUCCUGGGGGAUGGGACCCCUGGGCUGGGGUAGCCAGGCAGUGUGGAGCAGGAGGGUCCCUGGGCUGGGGGAGCCAGGUAGUGUGGAGCAGGAGGGUCCCUGGGCUGGGGGAGCCAGGUAAUGUGGAGCAGGAGGGUCCCUAGGCUAGGAGCUUCCAGUGCCUCAUCACCCCAUUUAAAGGACCAGAGGAGCCAGCGAAAACGUGGAAUUCUGGGCACGCAGCUCAUCCUUGUCCUGAUGGGAGGAGCAGAGGCGCUCAGGGCCCCUUGGUCUGCCCCCACAGCGUCCCUAUUUCAGGCUCCUCUGCAGCCCUUCCCUGAGGAGCAGGCACUGAGCAGUGCCUGGGGCUCCGCAACACACCUGCCCCCAACAUCGGCCCCUGGUGGACACACUUCCCUUAGCCCAGCUCAGCCAGAGCCUGGCCCGGGUCCCAGAGCCUCUGCCAGAAAAAGGAAACCCAACUACAAUCCCAUGGAGAACCCCACAUCACAGGUCAGGCCUCUGCUGAGACUAGAGCUCUCACCCACCCCCAGUGAGGAGCCGGAACCUCCCCCCGCCAUCCCCAAGAUACUGGAGAAGAGCUGAGGACUGUCUCCUCACCAAGUCCCCAUGAGCUUUGGGAAUGAUGUAUGUAACAUGUGUUCCAGGUGAGCUUAGAGUCUCUGUAGCCUGGCACAAUUUGAGCUGUAGAAUCCCAAGAGCCCGCAACAAAAUCAGAGCCUGCUCCCAAGAUGUGGAGCUGUCAGCUAGCAGAGCUGGGCACUGGCAGAGGCCGCCAGUCCCCCAGGCCUCCCACCCUCCCAUUUGGCCACUCCAGCAUGCAGCCUCGGCCCAGGGGAGGAGAGGCAACAACAUACCCCGGAGCCCAGCUGGAGGGCUGCCUGGUGGUGCCCUGAACUGCGGUGCCAGGAGGACAGGCCCGCUGUGGAGGCUGAGAGGGAGGACUGUGGCAGGCGGGGGCCACAGGGUGAGUGGGGUAGGUGCCCAGGGUGCAUUACUGUCUCCUGGAUAUUUAUGGGGUCAAGCUGGGAAACGUGAUCAAGCAUUACCAUCUGGGUUUUGUCUAUCUGUGUAAGGAUGGGGAGGGCGGCUGGGAGCACAGUCAGCCACCAGGAGGCAGGAGGACCCUCGGAGGUGAGCAUUGCCUGCUCAAAGUCAGGGUUGGAGGACAGAGGCUCCAGGACACAGAAGGCGGCUGCAGGGAGGUUGCGAUGCUCUCUACUGCUGGGGAUGAGAGGCGUCUAACUCAGGGUAUGGGGGUCCCUGUCCAGCCCCCUGCUGACCCACAGCAGGCAACAUCCUAGUGGCUCCAAAUGAGCUGGGGACACAAGGAAGGCGCCUUGCCUGAAAGCUGGGAUCACCUGGCCAGGGUGAUCGUCCUCGGGCCUGGCUGUGUGAGUCCCUGUGGGCAGCUGUCCAUCUGCCCUGCAUGGAGUGCCUCUUACUGGCUGGCAGCUGGAUCAGCAGCAUCAGCACCUGUCUUUCCCAGGCAGAUAGCAGAGAGUGGCAGCAGUGUGGCUCGUGUUCCUGCAGUAGCCCAGCUCCUGCAAGAGCCAGAGUCACCAUGGAAGGAUGUCACCUGGGAGGGCUGAGGUCACCUGAGAGGACUGAUGUCACUGGGGAGGUCUGCCACAAGCCCCAGGGGAUUUGGGGUGCUGCCUCUUCACCCCCUCCUGACAGCAUUAGAGCUGAGUAGGUCAUGCACAUCUCAGCUGACAAUGAGUCCAAAGAGACCCUGUCAUGCCUAAGCUCACAUGGUCUGAGAGGACAUAGGAGAGGACCAUAGAUGUCCCUCCCCUCAGAUGCCAGGCCAGGGAGGACACAAUGCCAGGCUGGGGACAGCACCUGUGAACUAGGCUGGCCAACAGGGCCAGCUGGGGGCACUGACCCCCACACACAGGGUCCUCGUAAAACCCAGGGGCUGCCUGCCAGGUACGAGAGGGCGACUGGGUCCAGACCCUGUGUGUACAGCCCAUGAAGUCAACUCAGUGGCUGUCCCUCCAGGAGUGAUCUGGAAAGCGGGGGCCCAGUGGGAGCAGGCACUUCAGGAAUCCCCUCCCUGUCUGCGGUGCUCCAGUGGGGUUCAGGCGGCAGGGACAUUGGAUCCCUGCCAGUUUUCCUAUGAAGAAACAGUUUCUGCGGGGUCCAUACUCAUUUCGUGACAAGAGCCACAUCCAUCAGACACUAUGGCAGCUUGUCAAAAAUGCUUCUGGGAGCACCAUUCUGGGAUACUGACUGGCUCCUUGGCCUCAGGGCAAGCCCAGGAAGAGGGCAUCACUUGUUCUGAGACUAGGGGUCAGGCUCCCAUCAGACCAGGAGUCUGUGCCUGAGCCCUCUCCAGCUCGGCGUGACACCUCUGAGACCCUCCCUCCCUGCCAUGCUUGGAUAUCCAAGUCAGCAGCGAGCUUGAGUUGUACCCACUCCAUCUUGGUAGGUGUUGGAUACUGAAUUUUAAUGAAGCAAUGACAGCCCUCACCUGAGACACCCAGGCCUGUGACUAUGGGAAUGUGACCUGGGAAUAUCGUUGCCCCCAAGUACUCAUGGGGUUAGACGCAGAACACGCCACUCAGACAUGACAAGCGCUCAGCAGCCUAGGAAAGAGAAAAGAGGCUUUGGGUUCACACAGAUGCCGGUUUGUCCUCUCUGCUACGUUCCAACAACGAAUGGGAUUCCAGGUCCAGAGGAUGCGCUGAAUGAGCUGAUGAGCUCUUCAGGGUUACCGAGUUUGAGGAAAUGUUUUGGUAAAAGUGGAUUUUACUAUUCCCGUGUUGAAGGUUGCCUUGGUGGCCUUCAGCUGUGAGGGAGGAUAAAUUCAAGCCGUGAAUGUGGCAUGCAGAUUUUCCAUGGCCAUCGGUUUUCAAAUCAGUUGGCUCAGCCUCUGAGACUCUUCUGGGACGUGUGGCACAAGUCACUGAGUUUUCCCGAGCAGCCGUCAGAUGGACUUCCAGAGUGGCUAUGUCCCGUCACAUUCCUACUGGGUAGGAAUGAGGGUCCCUGGGGCCCCACAUCCUCCCGGCAUUUGGUGUCACUGACUGCUUGGGAAGUCUCCCGAGCCCCUCAUCCUGCCGCCCUCCCUUGGGUCAAAGCACUUGCCACCAUUCCUCACUAUUUUGUUCGCUGCUGUCUCCUCGGGAGACACUUGGGUUCUGGCCCCACAUGUCACAGCCAGGCUCAGGGCUUGGAGCCAGGCAGACACGCAGUUUAUGAUAGCUGUCUCUUGGCCCUGGAGAGCUUGUGGUGGUUCUGUCGCCCCUCCUGGGUGACACCGGCCUCUGCUCUGGUGAAGCCUCCAUGCCUCUGGUUCACCCCAUCUCCCCAGGGACUCUCCAGCCCCGCAGGCCCUUACUUGACACUAUACUGUGGCUGGGACAUGAUGUGGUUUCUCAGGGUAUGGCUGCCAUCCAGGUUGAUCUGGUGAAAGUUCCCGAGGGAACUCUUUCAUCCGCAUGACCUCCAGGGCCAGGCCAAGAAAAGGAAGCAGCCUCUGAACAGAAAACUUGCUGCCCCACGCAGCAGUCAUCCACGACAGCCCUUCGGGAAGGAAGGUUUCCUUCCGCAGAAACCUCCCCCUCUGCUUCGCUUCCUUACAGUCCUACGAGCCCUGGAUUUCAGGUCACCUGUGGUGCCGGUGUCACCACAUUUCUAAAAGGAUCUCACUCUAUUUCGUCCCCCACCUUCAACCCAGGCUCCUCAUUCCCUCCAGCUAGAGGCUUGGGCUCCAGACACGGACUGGCCUAAUUUGUCCCGCUCUGGCUGACUUCGGAAGAGUCUUACCUGGUAUUUCCACCGGUUCUCGGCCUUUACCUUCUUGACCUCCAAGAAGUGUGACCACACAUCUACCAAUCUACACAUUUUGGUAGAUGUGUCCCGUCUCCCAGCCAACUUGGGACAGAACACUCUGGAGAGACAGGCCCUGGGGCAGCCCCAGGGAGGAUCAGAGCCUGAGGAUUCUAGAAAUCUCCAGCCUUUGUUGAUUUUUCAGGAGAGGUGGGGUCUAUCUAGGACCAGACCUCCCCUCCCACAAUUCAGAGUUAUGAAUGGGGAUCUUGACCUAUUCCUUCCUUCCGGUCACCAGGAAGUGUCCCUGAGCUAGUGCUGGCCCAGACCUUGGCAUCACACAGUCUCCAGCAAGAUGCGGUUUGCAGGGACAAAUAGGAAAGUUGCUGUUCAGACCUCCUGUCCCGGCCGAGGACAGUGUGCCACCCACCCUCUGAGAGGCAGGCAGUACCAGGACCCAGCCAUGGGAGUCCGUCCCCCUGUCUCUGCAGAGAACGGUCAUGGGGGCCCUCCCUCCCCA